GAGACCAAAGAUUGCCCUGUGGCCCUCUGGGCCAGCAUGGGCUUCUCUUCUGAGUCUGUCAAGGUGUUCUGACCCUUGAACUAGGAAGGAUGCCUCUCUGAAGCCAGGGUCUCUACCCAAGGCCUCACCUUAUUGUCCCUGCUGCCCCCUCAUGACAGCCUAGCAGCUGUCACCAAGAUGUAAAUGGGUGGUGGAAUGAGCACCUCAGCCCAGCCCUCACUCCAUCUCCCACCCGCAGUGGGGGCACUGGGUUCUGCAACCACACCCCCUUCCCAAACACUGGAAUUGUUCUCUGUCAGCUGCAGAGCUCUGAGGUACUGGCCCAGCACUCUCAAGAGCCAGAGGCAAGCAGACACGGGUGUGUUGAUGUGGGUAGGGCCUUAAGAAGGCCCAUGGUCCAGGACCCUCGUCUUCCCGGCACUGAAGCUCCAGUCCUGCCAUGUGUGUGUGUGUGUGUGUGUGUGUGUGUGUGCGUGCGUGUGCGUGAGAGAGAGAGAGAGAAUUUGUAUGUGUGCCUGUGCAUUUAAAGACUCUCCUUGGGUCACAGAGCUCACAGGUUUAUCGAAGCUGGCCUUGUCUGGAGCUCUGGAGCUCUGACUGUUUCCACCUCCCCAGCCCAGGAUUCUCCAUCCGGCCCUGCUUUUUAUGUGUUGGUGAUCUAACUCAGUUCCUUGGGCUUGCAUGGCAAGCACUUCACUGACUGAGCCAUCUCCCCAGCCCUGGUUCUGGCUUCGUACCUACUAGAUAAGUGUCUGGGUGUGUCUGUGAUGCUUGGGAACUGCUAAGCAGGCUGUCUGAGCUGGGAACCCUUGUCUGCGUGCUGAGUCAGCAGAAAUGCUGUGCUCUCGGCCCCAGAGAUGGAUUGUGAUUGGUCUAACCAGGAUGGUGAACAUCUGAUUCCCCUGGAAUAAAGCUUUAAGUGUGGCCGCGUGACUUCAUUCUAACGAAAUCUGAGAGGAGGUCUGUGCUGUUCAGGGGUGGUGAGUGUGCGGGUCUUCCCCCCCUUCAGCGGAGGUGGCAAGGUCCACUUCUCUACCUUCCUGUUGUGACUGCUCACAUGACAUGUUAAGGCGCAGCAGCCAUUUUGUAGAAAUGAGGUCAAAGGGAUGCUGAAAAGAUCAAGUGGGUAAGGCAUGGUACCUGCCUGUAAUCCCACUACACAGUAAACUGAGAUGGGAGAAUUGCCUGAGCUAUAUAGCAAGACUCUGUCUCAAAAAGAAAAAAAUAAAGGAAGAAAGACGGACAGAAAGCCAGCUCUGAUGGGGUGGAGCCAACUGUUGCUACCUCCUAAUUUCUGGAAAGAUCUUCAACUCUCUCCCCCACGCUACUGCAAGUGGGAUUUUUUUCCUUCUUAUUUCAUUUGCCUGUGACUCGUUGCUAUUACGCUAUCACGUAGCCUGGCAAGGGUUAAGCUUUUAUCUGACUUCAAGCUCUUUUCCAUCUUGGCUAAGAUGUGUACUUCUGGGCUUCCUGUCCUUUCUGCCUAUGCAAGCAGACAGGAUCUCUCACUGAACCUGGAGUUCACCAGUUCAGAGACCUGAUGGCUAUUAACCUCCAGUGACCCGUCUCCCCAUUUCCAACACAGGUGUUAUGGACUAGUGUUGCUCUUUACUUGGGGGUCCAAGUUUAGGACCUUGAUCUUGGGCAACAAACAGAGUCACCUCUUCCCUCCAUUUUCUGUCCUUGAGGCCAGGUCUCCUGUAGCCUAGGCUAGCCUCAGCCUCACUAUGGAGCUGAGGAUGACAUUGAAUUUCGGAUGUGCUUGCUUCUACCUCCCAAGUGCUGAGGCUACAGGCAUGCCCCUGCCAUAUUAUUCCUCGUACUUAUUUUUCUUUUUCAGACAGUGUCUUGCUGGGUAGCCCAGGCUAACGUUAAACCCAUGAUCCUCCUCUUGCAACCAGCCUACUGCUCAAAUUGUGGGCACGUGCCGCCGUACCCGGAUUCUGCCUCUGCUCUUCCUUCAGCUCCUUGUAGUCUGGCUAGGGCCGCCCCAUCUCUCACUCAGCCCAUCACCCUUUCAUGCUUCCAUACUUUGUGUCAGAACCCAUAGUGGGCAGAGCAGACACGUUUAGAAGGGGACCAAGACCCUGUGAUGGGGCUUUCAUAUCCUAGUUAGGGAACAGGAAGAAGUUGGGCUUCAGAGAAAUGAACACGGCAUGGAGGAGGAUCAAAGAUGACCUACUAUGUGCAGAUACCAGCCCUUACAGCUCUGCCCCCCAGUGAGUCCCACCUUUGGGGGUGCAGUAGAAGUAUUGGCAUCCUUUCUCUGUGGGUCUGAGUUGAGGGGUGUGUGUGUGUGUGUGUGUGUGUGCACAGCUGUCUGUGGGUGUGGUAGAAGCCUCUGUACUUGUGUUUUGUAUGCUGCUGGCAGCCGUGAGUGUGUGUGUGUGUGUGUGUGUGUGUGUGUGUGCAUGUGUGUUUGUAUAAAGAGAAAGGUAGGGCAAGAAGUGCCUGACUCAGACCUCCCUCGUGGCUCCAGUGGCAGCUGAGGUCUGGGGUUCUCCCCCACCUGGCCCUUGGCUCUGGUAGGGUGGGGCUGAAGCUGGGGCUCUGUGGGAACCAGGGCUGGGCCCAGCUGGAGCUGUUUGCCUUUCCUGGGUGACUGAUGGCACGGAGCCGCCGCCUUCCCAUGACAGAUGCAGGAAUGUUUCGCUGAUGAAGGCAGAAAGCUCCAAAGUGGGGCCUCCCCCAGCCCUGCACCGGGCCACCUGUCAGGCCUGGGAAACUGCCAGACCCAUCCUGACCCCAGUCCCAACUACUGCCUCUCAGGGUAUCAGGCCAAUUAGAAUACCUGCUCGCAGAGGGCCAAAGGGAGCCUGGGCUAGGCAGGACACUGGGAAGCUUUCCCUGGUGGGUAGAGCCUGGCUAGGGAUUAAGUUGUCAUUCAUGAUGCCUACUUAGGUCCCAGGGGUGCUAAGAGGUCAUCUAGGAUCUAGGGAUGCUAGAUGGCCCCAGGACGUGGCACCUUGGGAUUCUUUGAAGGGCUGUUACCUCUGCUCCGCUGCACCCUCAAUGGCUUCCUCCACUAGAUAGGGCCUAGAUGGGGAACUCGAGAGGGCGUGGCCUGCGGGGAGGAGGACUUGAGCUUACAAAGCUGAAGACUCACUCUGAUUCCAGGUUGGUUCCCAACCUUAUCCCUACCUAGCUCAGAAGGGCCUCAUGCCCAGCAGGACUCUAAAUUCCCAAUUAAAAUCUGAAGUGUGUGUGUGUGUGUGUGUGUGUGUGUGUGUGUGUGUGUGUGCGCGCGCGCAUCCUCAGCACACACAUGUGCACACCUGCCUGUCCUGUAAAAUAGAUGGGCUGGUAGAAUCCGGAUCCUAAGAGGCUGUGUGCUCCUCAGUCAUGACAAAAUACCUCAGUGCCUUGAGGUAUUUCGAGUGGGUUUUCAUGCUGACCAUGGGUGCUGAUCUCACAGGCACUCCUGGGGCAGUACCGUAUCCCCAAGGGUGACCCCAGACGCUAGCAUCUACUUCACAAAUACCCCAUGGGUUUCUUGAUUGGUUAAUUAAGCAGAGGUAGUUGGGCUAGAGGAUGAGGCAGGAGCCUUUUCUCUCAAAGAUCCAGCAGCAAAUGAGUCACCGUGACUGCUUGAAUGAGACGUCCCUCGUCUUCUCAGGUGUGUGAUACUUGGUCCCCAGCUGGUGGCCUUGUUUGGGGAGGCACGGGAGGAAGUACAGUCACCGGGGAUAGGCUUCCAGGUUUCAAGAGGCUCAUGUUGUUCCAGGUCUUCCCUCACUGCUUCCCGUUUACCGUUUAAGAUGUGAGCUCUCAGCUUCUGUGCCAGCCGCUGUGCCUGCUGCCUGCUGCCAUGCUUCCCCACCAUGGUGGAUCCUUACCUCUCUGGGACUAUAAGCCAAAUAAACCCUUCCUUCCCUACGUUG